rnacentral:rRNA from 1 species
GCAGUCAACGGGAAAGUCCUUUUCGGAGGGCGAGUACAGUGGCGAACGGGUGAGUAACACGUGGGUAACCUACCCUUGGGAUCGGGAUAACCUUGCGAAAGCGAGGCUAAUACCGGAUAAGACCACAUUGUUCAUGGACAGUGCGGUAAAAGGCGGCCUCUUCUUGAAAGCUGUCACCUGAGGAUGGGCCCGCGGCCUAUUAGCUUGUUGGUGAGGUAACGGCUCACCAAGGCGACGAUGGGUAGCCGGCCUGAGAGGGUGAACGGUCACACUGGCACUGAGACACGGGCCAGACUCCUACGGGAGGCGGCAGUGGGGAAUUUUGCGCAAUGGGGGAAACCCUGACGCAGCAACGCCGCGUGAGUGAUGAAGGCCUUAGGGUCGUAAAGCUCUUUUAGUGUGGAAGAAACAUCCAUGGACGAAUAAUCCAUGGACUUGACGGUACCCACAGAAAAAGUCCCGGCUAACUACGUGCCAGCAGCCGCGGUAAUACGUAGGGGGCAAGCGUUGUUCGGAAUUAUUGGGCGUAAAGAGCGCGUAGGCGGCUUGGCAAGUCUGGUGUGAAAUCUCACAGCUCAACUGUGAAACUGCAUCGGAAACUGCCUGGCUAGAGUGCAGGAGAGGAGAGUGGAAUUCCCAGUGUAGAGGUGAAAUUCGUAGAUACUGGGGGGAACACCGGUGGCGAAGGCGGCUCUCUGGACUGCAACUGACGCUGAGGCGCGAAAGCUAGGGG